rnacentral:rRNA from 1 species
UGAAGAGUUUGAUCAUGGCUCAGAUUGAACGCUGGCGGCAGGCCUAACACAUGCAAGUCGAACGGUAACAGGAAGCAGCUUGCUGCUUUGCUGACGAGUGGCGGACGGGUGAGUAAUGUCUGGGAAACUGCCUGAUGGAGGGGGAUAACUACUGGAAACGGUGGCUAAUACCGCAUAACGUCGCAAGACCAAAGAGGGGGACCUUCGGGCCUCUUGCCAUCAGAUGUGCCCAGAUGGGAUUAGCUUGUUGGUGAGGUAACGGCUCACCAAGGCGACGAUCCCUAGCUGGUCUGAGAGGAUGACCAGCCACACUGGAACUGAGACACGGUCCAGACUCCUACGGGAGGCAGCAGUGGGGAAUAUUGCACAAUGGGCGCAAGCCUGAUGCAGCCAUGCCGCGUGUAUGAAGAAGGCCUUCGGGUUGUAAAGUACUUUCAGCGGGGAGGAAGGUGUUGUGGUUAAUAACCGCAGCAAUUGACGUUACCCGCAGAAGAAGCACCGGCUAACUCCGUGCCAGCAGCCGCGGUAAUACGGAGGGUGCAAGCGUUAA